rnacentral:rRNA from 1 species
UGGUCAAGCUACUAAGGGUGCAUGGUGGAUGUCUAGGCGUGAUGAGGCGAUGAAGGACGCGGUAGGCUGCGAUAAGCCCAGGGGAGCUGUCAAGCGAGCAUUGAUCCUGGGAUUUCCGAAUGGGGAAACCCGACGUGACUGUGCAAGCAGAUCACGUCACCGCCGGAUGAAUUCAUAGUCCGUCGGAGCGAACGCAGGAAACUGAAACAUCUAAGUACCUGCAGGAAAAGAAAUCAAUUGAGACUCCGUCAGUAGCGGCGAGCGAACGCGGAUCAGCCCAAACCGGUCUUCGGACCGGGGUUGCGGGCGCCAUUCAGGAGUUAUAAAGGCAGUGAUAGUCGAAGAGUCUGGAAAGGCUCACGAUACAGGGUGAUAGUCCCGUAGGCGACGUCAGAUGCCCUCCGUUAUGUAUGGCGUUCCAGAGUAGCACGGAACUCGUGGAACUCCGUGUGAAGCUGGGGAGACCACUCUCCAAGGCUAAGUACUACAUCACGACCGAUAGUGGACAAGUAGGGCGAUUGAAAGAUGAAAAGCACCCCUAUUAGGGGAGUUAAAAGUACCUGAAACCAUGCACUUACAAGUUGUCGGAGCCCUAUGCCCGCAAGGGAAUGGGUGACGGCGUGCCUUUUGCAUAAUGAACCGGCGAGUUAUCGUUUGCGGCAUGGCUAAGUCCUUAAGGGAUGGAGCCGUAGGGAAACCGAGUCUUAAUAGGGCGUUUAGUCGCAGGCGGUAGACGCGAAACCACGUGAUCUACCCAUGGCCAGGUUGAAGCAUCCGUAAAAGGACGCGGAGGACCGAACCCGUGAACGUUGAAAAGUUCUGGGAUGAGCUGUGGGGAGGAGUAAAAGUCUAAUCAAACGUGGAGAUAUCUCGUUCUCUCCGAAAUAGCUUUUGGGCUAGCCUCGAGUAAAUUGCACGACGGGGGUAGAGCACUGGAUGAAACGAUGGGUCCACCAGACUACAUUCUUCAACCAAACUCCGAAUACCGUUGUGUGUACCUCGGGAGUCAGUCUACGAGGGAUAACCUUCGUGGUCGAGAGGGAAAUAACCCAGAUCGCCGGCUAAGGUCCCCAAUUCAUGCUAAGUGUGUAAGGAAGUCGGAUUGCUGUGACAGCCAGGAUGUUGGCUUAGAAGCAGCCACCAUUUAAACAGUGCGUAAUAGCUGACUGGUCGAGCAACCCGGUGCCGAGAAUGAUCGGGACUAAGCAUGAUACCGAAGCCGCGGAAUUGCCGUAAGGCAAUUGGUAGGAGAGCGUAGCUGUCGGCGUUGAAGGCGUACCGUAAGGAGCGCUGGAGCGGCAGCUAGUGAGAAUGCCGGUAUGAGUAACGAUAAAGCAGGUGAAAAUCCUGCUCGCCGUAAGCCUAAGGUUUCCUGGGGAAGGUAAAUCCGCCCAGGGUUAGUCGGAUCCUAAGUCGAGGCUGAAAAGCGUAGACGAUGGACAGCAGGUUAAUAUUCCUGCACUGCGCAUUGCGGUUGAACCGCGGAUGACGCAUCUACAAAGCGAAUCCACCGAUCAGACGUGGUGGUUGGGGCCCCGGUAACGGGGUCACUCGAGGCCGAUUUGUUGCCGAAGUUCGUGACGCAGGUGCCGAGAAAAGCUCCGCGGGGACAAUGUGCGCACCCGUACUAAAACUGACACAGGUAGGCGAGGAGAGUAUCCUCAGGCGCUCGAGAGAACCGUUCUUAAGGAACUAGGCAAUUUGACCCCGUAACUUCGGGAUAAGGGGUCCCUCCCGCAAGGCAUCUUAACUGACGCCAAGCGGAGGGCGCAGAGAAAUGGCUCUGGGAACUGUUUAUCAAAAACACAGGUCUCUGCUAACUCGUAAGAGGAUGUAUAGAGACUGACGCUUGCCCACUACAGGAAGGUCAAGGAAGUAGGUUAGCUCGCAAGAGCGAAGCUUGCAACUUAAGCCCCUGUGAAGGGCGGCCGUAACUAUGACGGUCCUAAGGUAGCGAAAUUCCUUGUCGGGUAAUUUCCGACCCGCACGAAUAGCGUAACGACUCCGACACUGUCUCGACGAAGGACUCGGCGAAAUUGUAGUUGUGGUGAAGAUGCCACAUACCUGCAGCAAGACGGAAAGACCCCGUGAACCUUUACUAUAGCCUAAUACUGGUAUUAGGCAUGGCAUGUGUAGCAUAGGUGGGAGACGUUGAACCGGGAGCGCCAGCUCUCGGGGAGUCACCGGUGAAAUACCACUCUUGCCAUGUUUGAUAUCUAACCUGUGGCCGUUAUCCGGCAUGGGGACAGUGUUAGGUGGGUAGUUUGACUGGGGCGGUCUCCUCCAAAAAGGUAACGGAGGAGCACAAAGGUGCCCUCAGCGCGGUUGGCAAUCGCGUGAAGAGCGUAAACGUAUAAGGGCGCUUGACUGCGAGACACAUAGGUCGAGCAGGUGGGAAACCAGGUGUUAGUGAUCCGGUGGUUCCGUGUGGAAGGGCCAUCGCUCAUCAGAUA